rnacentral:rRNA from 1 species
UACGAAGGGGGCUAGCGUUGUUCGGAAUUACUGGGCGUAAAGCGCGCGCAGGCGGCUAUCCAAGUCAGUGGUGAAAGCCCGGAGCUCAACUCCGGAACUGCCAUUGAAACUGUUUAGCUUGAGGAUGAGAGAGGUGAGUGGAAUUCCCAGUGUAGAGGUGAAAUUCGUAGAUAUUGGGAAGAACACCAGUGGCGAAGGCGGCUCACUGGCCCGAUACUGACGCUGAGGCACGAAAGCGUGGGGAGCAAACAGG